rnacentral:rRNA from 2 species
CGUUUAGCGGCGGACGGGUGAGUAACACGUGGGCAACCUGCCCUGCAGAUCGGGAUAACUCCGGGAAACCGGUGCUAAUACCGAAUAGUUUUUUGCCCCUCCUGGGGCGAAACGGAAAGACGGUUUCGGCUGUCACUGCAGGAUGGGCCCGCGGCGCAUUAGCUAGUUGGUGGGGUAAUGGCCCACCAAGGCGACGAUGCGUAGCCGACCUGAGAGGGUGAUCGGCCACACUGGGACUGAGACACGGCCCAGACUCCUACGGGAGGCAGCAGUAGGGAAUCUUCCGCAAUGGACGAAAGUCUGACGGAGCAAUGCCGCGUGAGUGACGAAGGUUUUCGGAUCGUAAAACUCUGUUGUAAGGGAAGAACAAGUACCAAGUAACUACUGGUACCUUGACGGUACCUUACCAGAAAGCCACGGCUAACUACGUGCCAGCAGCCGCGGUAAUACGUAGGUGGCAAGCGUUGUCCGGAAUUAUUGGGCGUAAAGCGCGCGCAGGCGGUCCCUUAAGUCUGAUGUGAAAGCCCACGGCUCAACCGUGGAGGGUCAUUGGAAACUGGGGGACUUGAGUGCAGAAGAGGAAAGUGGAAUUCCAUGUGUAGCGGUGAAAUGCGUAGAGAUGUGGAGGAACACCAGUGGCGAAGGCGACUUUCUGGUCUGUAACUGACGCUGAGGCGCGAAAGCGUGGGGAGCAAACAGGAUU